UACAGAGGUCCCGGAGCGUUGUUCGGAGUUACUGGGCGUAAAGGGUGUGUAGGCGGUUGUUUAAGUUUGGUGUGAAAUCUCCCGGCUCAACUGGGAGGGUGCGCCGAAUACUGAAUGACUUGGAGUGCGGGAGAGGAAAGUGGAAUUCCUGGUGUAGCGGUGAAAUGCGUAGAUAUCAGGAGGAACACCGGUGGCGAAGGCGGCUGCCGUGGACCGAUACUGACGCUGAGACGCGAAAGCGUGGGGAGCAAACAGG
rnacentral:rRNA from 1 species